AAACCAUAAUGAGGACACUAUCUUAAUAAACUUUUAAAUCUCUCCCAUGCUUCAAAUAGCGAUUCUCCAUUUGCUUAAGGAAAACUUGUAAUGCACUUCCUCAUAU